UACGUAGGGUGCAAGCGUUAAUCGGAAUUACUGGGCGUAAAGCGUGCGCAGGCGGUGAUGUAAGACAGAUGUGAAAUCCCCGGGCUCAACCUGGGAACUGCAUUUGUGACUGCAUGGCUAGAGUGCGGCAGAGGGGGAUGGAAUUCCGCGUGUAGCAGUGAAAUGCGUAGAUAUGCGGAGGAACACCGAUGGCGAAGGCAAUCCCCUGGGCCUGCACUGACGCUCAUGCACGAAAGCGUGGGGAGCAAACAGG
rnacentral:rRNA from 1 species